GUUCUCCCUUAACAGCACCUAGACUAAAUUUGGAAACAGAGAAGAUUAACAUGGCCCCUUCAUAAGAAUAGCAUGCAAGUCUGUGACACACUAUGUAUUUUC
ensembl:snRNA U6 U6 spliceosomal RNA